AACGCACAUUGCGCUCCCUGGUAUUCCGGAGAGCAUGCCCGUUUCAGAAUCAAUAUUAAAACUCACCCCCCUUGGGAGGGUAGAGAUGGAUUUUUGCGUUUUGCAAUUCUCCGAAAGUCAUUGGUUGUGCAUCAAUUUAUGUGUCAGUUGAUUGUCCAAGUGCAGCAGAGCCAUCUAAUUCACUUGGCAAGUCUUUCGGAUGCUUUUGAUGUGGGACCUCUUUACUAUAUAGCGGGGCUUCAAUUCGGCAUGACUUGAAGUACCCAAAACACUUGAUCUGAAAUCGGGCAAGAAAACCCGCUGAACUUAA
rnacentral:misc_RNA from 1 species